GGUUAUAGCUCCGUGCUAGAGCACAUGCUUAGCAUGCAUGAGGUCCUGGGUUCAAUCCUCAGUACCGCCA
rnacentral:tRNA from 1 species